rnacentral:rRNA from 1 species
GACGUAGGGCGCAAGCGUUGUCCGGAAUUAUUGGGCGUAAAGAGCGCGUAGGCGGUCCGAUAAGUCGGCUGUGAAAGUCAUGGGCUCAACCCAUGAAAGCCGGCCGAUACUGUCGGACUAGAGUCCGGAAGAGGCGAGUGGAAUUCCCGGUGUAGCGGUGAAAUGCGCAGAUAUCGGGAGGAACACCAAUGGCGAAGGCAGCUCGCUGGGACGGUACUGACGCUGAGGCGCGAAAGCGUGGGGAGCGAACGAGGA